rnacentral:rRNA from 1 species
GUGGGAACGCGCCCUUCGGUUCGGGAUAACUCAGGGAAACUUGGGCUAAUACCGGAUACGCCCUUACGGGGAAAGAUUUAUUGCCGAAGGAACGGCCCGCGUCCGAUUAGCUUGUUGGUGAGGUAACGGCUCACCAAGGCGACGAUCGGUAGCUGGUCUGAGAGGAUGACCAGCCUCACUGGGACUGAGACACGGCCCAGACUCCUACGGGAGGCAGCAGUGGGGAAUAUUGGACAAUGGGCGCAAGCCUGAUCCAGCCAUGCCGCGUGGGUGAUGAAGGCCCUAGGGUUGUAAAGCCCUUUCAACGGGGAAGAUAAUGACGGUACCCGCAGAAGAAGCCCCGGCUAACUUCGUGCCAGCAGCCGCGGUAAUACGAAGGGGGCUAGCGUUGCUCGGAAUUACUGGGCGUAAAGCGCACGUAGGCGGCUUCUUAAGUCGGUGGUGAAAUCCUGGAGCUCAACUCCAGAACUGCCUUCGAUACUGGGAAGCUCGAGUCCGGGAGAGGUGAGUGGAACU